UACAUAGAUCUCUACAUAGAUCUCUACAUAGAUCUCACAUAGAUCUCUACAUAGAUCUCUACAUAGAUCUCUACAUAGAUCUCUACACAGAUCUCUACAGCCAGGAGCGACCGUGGCUGAUGGACUACAGAUCUGGAUUCUGGACUCCAGGCCUGAGCGGGACUUGGCUUUCAUUCCUCCUAUCACACCACAGCUCAGAUGUGGAGGAAGAGGAGCUGCAGGUGGAAACACUCGAGGAUGUUGUUAUCAGACAGUUUUCCCUAACAUAGUUCCUUUUUGAAUGAGAUAUAAACAUUUAAACUUUAUACUGCAUGAUCAUCUUCUCAGUCAGGCUAGGCGUUAUCUGUUGAGACUGUUUCUUUAGUCAAUCUGAAACUUGAUAGUGUGACACGGAAAUAUAAAUACAUCAUUGUUAAAGUUACUCAUUAACGAUAAGCUUCUACUAACUCUGAAAUACUGACGUGUGAAAUUCAAUAAACUAGUAACUUUAA